GAUGAACGCUGGCGGCGUGCCUAACACAUGCAAGUCGAGCGAACAGACGAGGAGCUUGCCCCUUUGCCGUUAGCGACGGACGGGUGAGUAACACGUAGGUAACCUACCUAUAAGACUGGGGUAACUACGGGGGACCGGAUACAAUACAGGAUAAUAUGUCGAACGGGAGGGAUCGUUGGAGAUAGAGGGCUUUGCUAAGACUAAUAGAUGGUACUGAGCUGGAUUGGCUAGUUGGUAAGGUAACGGCGUACCAAGGCUACGAUCCGUAGCCGACCUGAGAGGGUGAUCGGCCACACUGGAACUGAGACACGGUCCAGACUCCUACGGGAGGCAGCAGUGGGGAAUCUUCCGCAAUGGGCGAAAGCCUGACGCAGCAACGCCGCGUGAGUGAAGAAGGUCUUCGGAUCGUAAAGCUCUUUUAUUAGGGAAGAACAGACGUGUAAUUAACCGUGCAUGUCUUGACGGUACCUAAUGAGAAAGCCCCGGCUAACUACGUG
rnacentral:rRNA from 1 species